ACUUAAAAUCACUAAAAUAUUGAAAUCAGGUUGGAGGGGACUGGAAAAGAGUGGGUUGCCAUGGAAACGGAAAUUAUUACAGUCGGAGGUGUGUUGCAUGUAGACCUAAUAGCCUACCAAGUUUCAAUGGUUUUUGCUGCAAAUUGACCGAGAUAGCUCUACUUUUAUACUUGAUUGAAUAUUUGGUUGAGUGUAUGACGUCAUAAGUCCUUUCAUUUGCAUAGUUAACACAUUUUCAAAUUUAAAUAUCACCGGAACCAAUGUAGAUAUCUGCAUAUGGUAAACUGGGUUUUUAAUCUUUCGUGGAAUUCUAUGAUUAACUUAAUAAUUCAAGGGGUAAAAAUUUGAUCCUAGUACCACUUAAUCUGUAUCCUAAUUCAACCUAAAAGCUGGCCACAUUAAGUCGUUAAUCAGUGAUUUGAUAUCUUGUUUUUCGUUAUAUAAAAAAGAGUAAAUCAUUAACCGCUUGGUUUGUAUGUAAAGCUUCUCCGAGAUACAAUCAACUGUUCACGUUGACCACUUUUAUCUUCCACUACGUAGUAGAGUAUCAAGACUGAGGUGGACUAAGGGCUGGUUUACACUAGCGCAAUGCCAUAAGCAUAAGCUGACAUACGCAGAUGCAGCAAGAUCAUGAUAAUUAGCGCCUUUUCCCAAACAAAAGUCGCUAAUUAUCAACAUCUUACUGCGUCUGCGUGUGUCGGCUUAUGCUUAUUCAUAUGCGCUUGUGUAAACAAGCCUUAAAGAGUUUUUUGAUAAAACACUUACAGAAUUAUAUUUACUUAAAAUGGUAACUACUGCAAUAAAGUGACAACUCACAGACCGUUUCACAGAAAAGAACUAAAAAAGAUUUAAAUGUCAUUUUAUUCAGAGGUUUUUUUAGGGUUAAUUUAGGCUGGGAUACAAAAUGUAGUAAUAGAUCAUGUUAGCGGCGCAUAGCUGUGUUCACUUCACGUUCACCUAACUACUUGCGCUUGAGUGUCGCAGAAGGCCUUUCUCACUCUGCAAGAAAAUCGACAAUCUGAGGGAAACAAAUUGAACAAUGCUAAGCCGUAUAAAAAUAAGUUACUAAUCAAAUCUGUUUUGUUUUUUCAGCGAUAGCAGAAGUCUAUCGGGAAGAAGGUGACAAAGAAUUCACAAGAAAAGAAGUUUGUUACGCGAUAUACUUCUAUACAGAAGGAAUUCAUGUGAACUGUAAUGAUUUCCAGCUGAAUGCUAAGCUGUACAGCAACAGGGCAACAGCUUAUUACCAUCUCGGGAAUUUUUACGAGGCCCUGAAUGAUGCAACGGCCGCCGUCAAUUUGGAACCAACUUCGAUUAAGGCCAUAAAAACAGGUGCAAGUGCUUGUGAGCACCUACAGUGUUGUGGAGACGCCAUAUCCUGGUGUGAGAAGGGAUUGGCAAUUGACAAAACUAACAAGACAUUACUAGAUUUACGAGCCAGGUGCGUUGGAGAUCGACUUAAAUUACAAGAAGCAAAGAGCAAUCCCGAAACUCACUCUGUUAAGGGCCAGAACUGGAAAGGUAGCGAUUGGAUUAGAGAUGCGUAUUUGUCUGGAGUGUCAUCCAUGGAGGCCAAAUAAAGAAUUUGAGACAAUCCUAGGGUGUUUGGAAUCAAGCACCGCCCAAGCAGAGAAAGUUUACGCCAACGCCAAGCUGCAAGUUUUUUCUCAAGAUCAUCCACUUUCUUAGUAAAGCUCUUCCGUUAAUUGUCAACACUAUCAUACGAGGAAAAA
rnacentral:lncRNA from 1 species